GAAACUGCAGAUGGCGAGAGUUUCUAUUUUUGGUAGAUGAUUCAGUAUGGGUGUUAGUUACCUAUAGUUUUGAUGUUUGUUGUUUGUUAGUCUUUGAGGAAUAGGCUAUCUCAGAGAAACAUCGAUUGAUUAAAAUAAACUGUCUUUCAGUCGCACCCAAACACAAUGCUUUAAUUCAUUUGUUUUUCUUUGUAAGCACCUUCAUUAAUCCAGAAUUACUUCAAGAAUCACAUAAUGGCAAAGCCCUAGCAACAAAUCAACCACACUUUCUAUAAGUAGCAAGAUCCAGGUAGUCAUCAUAAAAGUUGUAUUUGCGUACACAUAAGAUUCAGAAACAGCUAGGUUACAAAUUCCUUGAGCUAAUGGAAAGGUGUUAGCAACAAAUUUGCCUUCUCAAAUAAUAUUCAACCUAUGUUUCACACGUUAAAUUUCAAAAGAAUGACCAAUAAAGAUAUUACAAUCCCCAACGAUAUAUUGCCUUCAACUUUAGCUUUUGCUUGGCUUUUCUGGGUGGUUUAGGCCUAGCAAGUGCGACCGCACCAGUAAUACCUAACCAUUUUUACGAACCACAGCAAGCUGAUUUCUGGGCAGCUUGACUACCUCCAGCUCCUGCAUCUGGUUGAUUAAUCUUGAGCGUCGAAGGCUGCAAC
rnacentral:lncRNA from 1 species